GAGGGAGUAAUUAUUAUGCCAUGGCGCUUCAACCAAUUCCAUUGAAUUGUUCUUCUUCCACACCGUGUGGCUCUUCUUCCUUCCCAACCCCAAGGCCACGCCACUAUCAAAUUCAGACUUUCUUGUUCGAACCAGACAUCGCAACUUGACACUCCACAACGAGUGAAGGUAGCGAACAGGCCAAGCUUCCUUCAUCAAAUUCAAGAUAAAAUGGUCAAAGGCUAGAUUCUGAUUCAGAGGACAAUGAAGAUGUCAGAGGUAAAGCGUUGCAACACAACUCUAGUGGUUCUGUUCGUGAAGAAAGAAAGGGAGUGGCGAGUGAGGUUUCUUCGAAUGAAGCAGAAAGAGUGAAUGGGGAGAUAACAAAGAGAAGAAGCAAUACGGAGUUGCGGAGGCUGAGGAUGAUGGAGAUAUUCGAUGUUGGAGUGAAGGGCAUCACGCAGGAAUUAGUAGCUUCAGUUCACCAAAAGUGGAGGGAUAGUGAAGUUGCCAAAUUCAAGUUUGGUAUUCCUCUUUCUGCUCACAUGAAAAAGGCUCAUCAAAUUCUACAGAUGGUUCUAUCUUGCACCUUCUACAUUGGAUUCCUCUCCCAAUUACUCCUUUUGCACAACCGCUUCCACACAAACUCACGAAGAUGGAGGGGUGCCAUGGCGAGCAGUAGAUCUAAUUGCUGGUGGAACACACGACGGAUCUAGUUGACGGCAAGACUCAUGAAGGUGGAGUGACACUGCUUCCACAUAGACUAGUGAAAGCGGAGGGGCACCGCGCCUGCAACAGAUUUGGUUGACAUCAAGUCUCACAAAGGUGGAAGGGCAUCGCGUGCAGUAGAUCUGGUUGUCAACAGCAUGCGCGAUGGAUUUGGUUGACAACAAACCCUUCAUCACAGUCACUUACAUCUCUAACAACAAUAACCUCAUUAGAAAAUCCCUUAGAUGAAACUACAUCCAUUUACAAAAAAGAGAUGGAUCAGAUCUGAUUGUUUUCUAACUUCUCAAAUUUAUUUGAAUGUUUCAUUUGAAUAUUAAUUGAUUUUGUUCUUAUGAUUA